AUUGAACGCUGGCGGCAGGCCUAACACAUGCAAGUCGAGCGGAGCGGCGGACGGACGAGUAAUGCCUAGGAAUCUGCCUGGUAGUGGGGGAUCACGUCCGGAAACGGGCGCUAAUACCGCAUACAAUCAGAUGAGCAUAGGUCGGAUUAGCUAGUUGGGGGGUUAAAUGCCUACCAAGGCGACGAUCCGGAACUGGUCUGAGAGGUUGAUCAGUCACACGGGAACUGAGACACGGUCCAGACUCCUACGGGAGGCAGCAGUGGUGAAGAUGGGACAAUGGGCGAAAGCCUGAUCCAGCCAUGCCGAGUGUAUGAAGAAGGUCUUCGGAUUGUAAAGCACUUUAAGUUGGGAGGCGUUACCAACAGAAUAAGCACCGGCUAACUUCGUGCCAGCAGCCGCGGUAAUUC
rnacentral:rRNA from 1 species